rnacentral:rRNA from 1 species
GAUGAACGCUGGCGGCGUGCCUAAUACAUGCAAGUCGAGCGAACAGACGAGGAGCUUGCUCCUCUGACGUUAGCGGCGGACGGGUGAGUAACACGUGGAUAACCUACCUAUAAGACUGGGAUAACUUCGGGAAACCGGAGCUAAUACCGGAUAAUAUGUUGAACCGCAUGGUUCAAUAGUGAAAGACGGUUUUGCUGUCACUUAUAGAUGGAUCCGCACCGCAUUAGCUAGUUGGUAAGGUAACGGCUUACCAAGGCAACGAUGCGUAGCCGACCUGAGAGGGUGAUCGGCCACACUGGAACUGAGACACGGUCCAGACUCCUACGGGAGGCAGCAGUAGGGAAUCUUCCGCAAUGGGCGAAAGCCUGACGGAGCAACGCCGCGUGAGUGAAGAAGGUCUUCGGAUCGUAAAACUCUGUUAUUAGGGAAGAACAAAUGUGUAAGUAACUAUGCACGUCUUGACGGUACCUAAUCAGAAAGCCACGGCUAACUACGUG